CCGGGGCUACCCUACUCCCGUAGGGUUUAGAGUCGUCGGGCCUCUCGGAGAAGCUCGGUCCUGAACUCCACCCUUGAAUAAACUACCUUUGUUGCUUUGGCGGGCCGCCUCGUGCCAGCGGCUUCGGCUGUUGAGUGCCUGCCAGAGGACCCCAACUCUUGUUUUUAGUGAUGUCUGAGUACUAUAUAAUAGUUAAAACUUUCAACAACGGAUCUCUUGGUUCUGGCAUCGAUGAAGAACGCAGCGAAAUGCGAUAAGUAAUGUGAAUUGCAGAAUUCAGUGAAUCAUCGAAUCUUUGAACGCACAUUGCGCCCUCUGGUAUUCCGGGGGGCAUGCCUGUUCGAGCGUCAUUAUAACCACUCAAGCUCUCGCUUGGUAUUGGGGUUCGCGGUUUCGCGGCCCCUAAAAUCAGUGGCGGUGCCUGUCGGCUCUACGCGUAGUAAUACUCCUCGCGAUUGAGUCCGGUAGGUCUACUUGCCAGCAACCCCUAAUUUUUUUAAGGUUGACCUCGGAUCAGGUAGGGAUACCCGCUGAACUUAAGCAUAUCAAA
rnacentral:rRNA from 1 species